rnacentral:rRNA from 1 species
GAUGAACGCUGGCGGCGUGCUUAACACAUGCAAGUCGAACGAAGCACUUUACUACGAUUUCUUCAGAAUGACGGUUUUGUGACUGAGUGGCGGACGGGUGAGUAACGCGUGGAUAACCUGCCUCAUACAGGGGGAUAACAGCCGGAAACGGCUGCUAAUACCGCAUAAGCGCACGGUACCGCAUGGUACAGUGUGAAAAACUCCGGUGGUAUGGGAUGGAUCCGCGUCUGAUUAGCCAGUUGGCGGGGUAACGGCCCACCAAAGCGACGAUCAGUAGCCGACCUGAGAGGGUGACCGGCCACAUUGGGACUGAGACACGGCCCAAACUCCUACGGGAGGCAGCAGUGGGGAAUAUUGCACAAUGGGGGAAACCCUGAUGCAGCGACGCCGCGUGAGCGAAGAAGUAUUUCGGUAUGUAAAGCUCUAUCAGCAGGGAAGAAGAAAUGACGGUACCUGACUAAGAAGCCCCCGGCUAACUACGUGCCAGCAGCCGCG